GCCUCUGUAGCUCAGUUGGUUAGAGCCCUGCACCGGAAUUCGCAGGGCCGUAGGUUAAAUUCCUACCAGAGGAC
rnacentral:tRNA from 1 species